GUGGUCGGGACAUGAUGUUGAGAUGGAUUAAGAUAUCAUAUUAAGAAUUGGAUAGAAAGUGCAAGAAUUUUCUUUGGGGAGCAUGUGAUAAUGGUAAGAAAAUGUACUUGGAACUGUAUAAAUAGUUGGUUGCCUUAAGGUGGGUUUGAGGCAUGUGAUAAUGGUCAUCUUGACAUCUUUAACCAUUAGAACCCUUCUUUCACCUACUGAAUUGUGGAGUAACGCUUCCUUGUCUAUUUGAUAUAAGCCUCCCUAUCUUCUUCGUAUAAAGCUAAAUGGUGAUGAGGAUGUGAUUAAUCAUGAGAAUUUAACUUGUGGAGGUGUGGUCCUAAGACCAUAGCAAGAU
rnacentral:lncRNA from 1 species